GGAGGCAGCUAACCACGGUAGGGUCAGCGACUGGGGUGAAGUCGUAACAAGGUAGCCGUAGGGGAACCUGCGGCUGGAUCACCUCCUUUCUAAGGAAGCUGUGGAAUUGGUAAGACGACAGGCUCAUGUCUUCGGAUAUGCCCCUGUAUGAACCUUCCCGUGCUUUUUAGAACAUAGAUGGCGCCAGUCAGGCGACCAUCGAAACGCAAUACGCCGUAGACAUGCUUGCAUGCACGGUAUGGCGAGCUGCGCCGUCCACGUUUCUCUUUCUUCAUUAGGAUAUGUCCUCGCGGCGGUGUCGCGCUCGUUACCGAGCGCUCGCCACCAGACGGGGCGCGCCAGACGACUGGCGACGGCCUCUGGCCUUUAUGGGCAAGCGUCACGGAUGUCGAGUUCGUAGAGAUCGGGCCCGUAGCUCAGUUGGUUAGAGCACACGCUUGAUAAGCGUGGGGUCGGUAGUUCAAGUCUACCCGGGCCCACCAUUUGCUUUAGCAAACGUAGGUUUGCUUGUUGGCAGGUGGAUUGUUUGAGAUCUUGAUCCUCCUGAUGGCUUUGUCAUCAGGUGUUGCGAUGGUUGGGGCUGUAGCUCAGCUGGGAGAGCACCUGCUUUGCAAGCAGGGGGUCAGCGGUUCGAUCCCGCUCAGCUCCACCAAUUCGCUUUUGGUGUCGAGAGAGUGGUUUGCAUAUCCUUUGAAGAAGUAAAAGUUUGCAUCGGACUUCGGUCUGUUGCCUGUUCUGCAUAAAUCGUGAAGAGAAGAUAGAUCUGGAGGCUUCCAGGUAUUGGGUUCUGCCCAAUGUCCGAGCCCAGUUCCUGUGAAACCGUUGUGGGCCUAGCCGGCCCUACAUGGUGGAGGGCUGGAGGUAGGUAGGAAGCUUGUCGCUCUGGGUCGUUGUUGUUUGGGGUCUUUAGGGGCUUCAUCUGACGGACGACUUGAUUGCCGUUGCCUGACCGCGCGGUAUCGGAUCUUAUCUCGAGAAGCUGGUCUUAAAGACAGACUGCAAGCGAACUGCUCGGCGUAGUUCCAAUAAAGCAGAUCUGUCGAACACGUCGAUGGCAUUGUUAGAAAGCAGUGGUUGUAAAAG
rnacentral:misc_RNA from 1 species